UUCUUUAUAUUAUUCUAAUACUUUUAGUGUAUUAAACCAGUUUGGGAGGCACUGACAGCAGUGCCUCCCGUAAACAGUGGAAACGGGGUUAAAGCGGGGGGCGGGGCCAAGCACUGGGCUGUAAAAGCCCGUUAAAACAAGAGGGGAAUGCGGCACUUCUACAAGUGCCUCGCUGGCAGGGAAAGCACGCCCCUGCCAGCGAGGAACAUGUGAUUGGACAGCGGAUCCAGUCCUGGAUCCGCUGGCCCAAUCACAAGUACACAGCGGCAGGACAAGGAAGGGACUCUGAAGCUCCCCUUCCAUCAUUCCCCCUGACCCCUCUUCUGACGAAGGGACAGCAUCCGCCAGCACCACCAGUCAGAUCCUGCUGGCCUCUCAUCUGGCGCAACACAGUUGCUGAGAUCCACUGGCAGUAAAUAAUUGAAAAUAUGAGAGCCACAAGUUGCUUAAAUAUAAAGUAUUAUGUGUAUUCUGGGUGCUAGUUAUUGAACUCCAAAAGAACUGAGUUUGGAUAUGCUAUACCUGUACGACGUCUUAAGACAUACUAAGAAGAAUGUUUCUGCUACCAUCUACAAAGAGAUAAUUACUUUUCCAAAAUAUUUCUCAUUAAACAUAAAGAAGACUUUU